AUUGAACGCUGGCGGCAGGCCUAACACAUGCAAGUCGAACGGUAACACGAAGCAGCUUGCUGCUUCGCUGACGAGUGGCGGACGGGUGAGUAAUGUCUGGGAAGCUGCCUGAUGGAGGGGGAUAACUACUGGAAACGGUAGCUAAUACCGCAUAUUGUCGCAAGAGCAAAGAGGGGGACCUUCGGGCCUCUUGUCAUUCGUUGUGCCCAGAUGUGAUUAGCUUGUUGGUGGGGUAACGGCUCACCAAGGCGACGAUCCCUAGCUGGUCUGAGAGGAUGACCAGCCACACUGGAACUGAGACACGGCCCAGACUCCUACGGGAGGCAGCAGUGGGGAAUAUUGGACAAUGGGCGCAAGCCUGAUGCAGCCAUGCCGCGUGUAUGAAGAAGGCCUUCGGGUUGUAAAGGACUUUCGGCAGGGAGGAAGAGGGUAAUGUUAAUACCUACAGUUAUUGACGUUACCCGAAGAAGAAGCACCGGCUAACUCCGUG
rnacentral:rRNA from 1 species